rnacentral:rRNA from 1 species
GAUUUCUGGCUUGAAACAUUUUGCCGGCCACGGUUUCGUGUGUUAGUGCUUGAUGUUCUGGCCAUCCUUCCAAUCGCCAUCGGCUUAUCUUCAUUGAUCGGUCGGUGGUAUUGGAUCUUUUACUUUGAAAAAAUUAGAGUGUUUCAAGCAGGCUUUAUGCUAUGAAUACAUUAGCAUGGAAUAAUAAUUUAGGACUUCGGUUCUAUUUUGUUGGUUUCUAGGACUGAAGUAAUGAUUGAUAGGGAUAGUUGGGGGUGCUAGUAUUCAGCGGCCAGAGGUGAAAUUCUCGGAUUCGCUGAAGACUAACUUAUGCGAAAGCAUU